rnacentral:lncRNA from 1 species
CGUCCUCCCAAAGUGCUGGGAUUACAGGCGUGAGCCACGGCGCCCGGCCGUAGAUAAGAAUCUUAGAGCUGUUAAAUAUCCCUAUGCUAGAUCAAGAUGGGUCCAGGGACCUAAAGUUGGCUGGAGCCCGCUGGUGGGAUUCAGUGCGGAGCAAACAGGGUCCACGUGGAGAUGACAGUGAUAGAAGAUGAAGAAACUUUGUCCAGAUGUUCUGGGUAACUGGAAUGUGAAUAUCCACAGGUAUUUGUUGAAAGAAUAAAUGCAUGCCAAGAGAAGGGGAGGCACAGUGGAAGACACAGAGUGAAGAUACAGCUCCUGGUAAUUUCAGCACAAGGCUCUCAAUUCUUAACUGGGGCAGCAGGGAGCUGGCAUCCGCAUAAGCUGGAUAUGGCUUACUUGAGUGAAUGGAUCGCGUGCCCGGUAUUGACAUCCCAGAUUC